rnacentral:lncRNA from 9 species
AGAGAGAAUAAAAAAAAAAUAUGGUCUGAUUCUGCUCAGAUGCUGCUUGUUUCUCCUUACACCAUAGGGUUCUGUUUUAUGUCAUUUCCUUUGAAGUCCGGGGGAGCUCUGUGCAGGACGGCAACUCGAACACCAGCCUCUAUACAUGAAGUCACACGACAAUCUGGGAUCCUUGUCAUUUCCUUCCUUUUCCUAUAA